rnacentral:rRNA from 1 species
AUGCAGCAGCCGGACCUCCUCGGCACAGGGGGAGACGGCGAGUACGCGAUGUUGGAGACGCUCCUGAUGCGGGGGGAGUCCGCCGCGGUAGGAGCGCCUCGCUUCGACGGCAAAGACUUUGAAAGAUGGCAGGCUCGGAUGAAGGUCCGCUUGCGGCUCUUUCACCCUCUUGUGUGGAGCAUCGUGGAAACCGGAUUCUCUUGUGUGGAUGAAGCAAACCCAACGGCUCUCGAGUUGAGGAACAUCCACUACAACGCCCAAGCCAUGAACGCCAUAUACUGUGCCCUGAGUGAUGAUCAGCUCUACCGGAUCUGGCAGUACGAGAGUGCUAAUGAGGUCUGGGACGCUCUCCAGGUUAUGCAUGAAGACACCCCAAUCGUUCAUGAGUUAAAGGUCAAACAGUUGAGGGAGAAGAUGAGGUUGUUUGCAUGGAGGAAGCACGAAUCCCCCCAUGACAUGUUUGGGAGGCUCCAGACUUUGGUCACCAAGAUGAAGAGCCUUGGAUGCGAAGAGGUGACAGAUUCUUAUGUUGUCAGGAAGAUGCUUCGUGCCAUGACACCAAGGAGCUCAAUCUUUGUGACCAUCAUCCGCGAGGGGCCUAACUUUGAAGAACUCACCCCUCUGGAUGUGCUCCGUAGUUUCGUCGAGUAUGACAUGUGGCAAGAAGAGUCCAGAAUCAUCCGCGGGUACGAGCCAAAGGUGGACGCUGUCAUGCGGAGGGCGCCCGCCCACGAUGAACAUUGCUCCGGAGAAGUCCCUUGCUUCGACGGCACACACUAUCUAUCAUGGCAGCGUAGGAUGAAAUUCCAUUUGCUUAGCAUUCACCCUCUUCUGUGGAGAAUUGUGGAGACUGGUUUCUCUUGUGUGGAUGAAGCAAAUCCAACGGCUCUUGAAAAGAGAAAUCGACAGUACAAUUCUGUAGCUAUAUGGGCCUUAGGUAAUGCCUUAAGUCAUGAUCAAUUCAUGAGGAUUUGCUACUAUGAGAGUGCUAAGGAGAUUUGGAAUGCUCUCCGAAAAUUUAAUAAAGCAGUUCGUGAGUCAAAGCUCGGCUAUUUGAGGAUAGAUAUGGACAGGUUCACCUUAGGAAAACAUGAGUCCCCCAGUGACAUGUAUGCAAGGCUUAACAAUUUGGUCAAUGAGAUGAAGGGUCUUGGGUGCAAAGAGAUGACUGAUUCCUAUGUUGUGAGGAGGAUGCUUCGUGCCAUGGCUCCAACGAACGCAAACUUGGUUUUCCUCAUCCGCGAGAAGCCUAACUUUGAACUACUCACCCCUCUGGAUGUGCUUGCAACAUUCCUCCUCUACGACAUGGAGCAGAAAGAAUCCAAAAUCAUGAGUGGGUAUGCUUUGCCACGCUCAGGCAAAAAGGUCAAUGCUGCCUUGAAGGCCAAGCAAGUCCAGGUGGAGGAAUCAAGCGAUGAUGAAAACGACCAUGAUCAAGGCCGAGGGCAAAUUCAACAAGGAAUGCAAGAAAUGUCUCUCUUGGGGAAGAAAUAUGGAGCAUUGCAUGGAAAAAAAGGCUACGAAGCAAGAAGCAAUUUCUCUGACAAGUCCAAAAUGAGGAAAUCAAAGAGGUAUUGCUAUCAAUGUGGUGAUCCCAAUCAUUUCAUUGCUGAUUGUCCUAAGAAGGAGGACAGGAAAGUAGAGAAGGAGAAGAGCAAAUACAAGAGGAAACCAUUCAACGACAAGGGCAAGCCAUACAAGCCAGAGUGGCAGAAAGGUGUGGAGGCACAACCUCACGUCAGUGUGGGAGUGGAAAGUGCCGUUCAAAGAUGCAGAGGCGCUGGACUUAGACGGCUUCGUAGCCCGGUUAAUGGAGAACCUGAGAACUCCACUUCGGCGUUGAAGAGGGGGCUGGUGCCGAAUCUGCCAAGGAAACCUGCCGCCCAGCUGAUGUAG